GGAAUUAAGAUGAAGGAAUAUUAUCAAUUAUUCUUUUGUUCUUAAAGAUGAAUUAGACUCAAAAUUAUUAGUCAGGAGAAACUCCUCAAACUGCUAUGUUAUUCAUACGCUAUGUCAAAAUCUUUUGUAAUAAUUUUAAUGAAGUUAUCCUUUACUAAAAUAUCUCAUUCUAAGUAUUUUUGCUAAUGAGAUGCAUUUAAAAAUAAGAAUAAUAAAUGGGCAAUGUUUGAUUUUCACCACCUCUUCCCUCCUUCCAGAAGCAAACAGAACUCUACCUCUGCUCUGACUUUAGAUUCCCACCCUUUCCUAUAGCACUGUAUAUUUUUCUGUCUUCUAUGUAAACUAUCAGGAAGUUCAUUCAUUAAGUAAAGUAGUAAGUGAAUGUGUAGUAUCAGAUAUGGGGAAUUGGCCGGGCCUGGUGGCUCAUGCCUGUAAUCCGAGCACUUUAGGAGGCCAAGUUUGGGUGGAUCACUUGAGGCUAGGGGUGUGAGACCAGCCUGGCCAACAUGGCAAAACCCUGUCUCUACUAAAAAUACAAAAAUUAGCUGGGCUUGGUGGCAGACGCCUGUAAUCCCAGCUUCUUGGGAGGCUGAGGCACAAGAAUUGCUUGAACCCGGGAGGCAGAAGUUGCAGUGAGCUGAGAUUGUGUCACUGCACUCCAGCCUGGGCUACAGAGCAAGACUCUGUCUCAAAAAAAUAAAAAUAAAUUUAAAAAAAGAUACGGGGAAUUCAGAGACCUUGGAGGAGUUCAUAAUCUAAUGGAGGAGAAAAUGUAGAAAGGAUGAUUAAAAUGCAGUGUGAUUAUUGUUGGAUAAGGUGAUAAAUCAGAGUUGUUGAGAUUCUGUAAGUGCAUGGAGGAGGGGCACCUCAUCCUAUCUGAAGAAGACGUCAUAGAAGGUUUUUCAGAGUAGCUGGUGUCCAAAUCAAGUCCUAAAAGUGAUGGGACAAGAAUAAUGAACAAUUCAGAUAGGGUAUAACUGUAAAGAAACUCACUCUCCAGUUAGGAGGAUAGAUAAAUAAAAACCCUCUGUGCUAAGGGCUGGCAGAAAGGUAAACUCAGGGAUCUUUGGGAACACAGAAAAGGAAUUACUAUUGGACAUAGGGGCAGGGAAUGGGGUGGCCGGGUCACCUUUACAAUGGUGAUGACGCCUGAGUUUGGUCUUCAUUAGCACUGACCAAGGUGGCUUGAUAGAAGGCUGAAGACAGACUAUGGGCCCGAGUAUACAGAAAACUAUCCCCUGUGUUAUGAGUGAAGGACAACAUACUGUGUAUUAGGGUUCAGACUAAAUUUCUGUUAAUAGAGAUUCAAACAGGAUAGAAAUUUCUCUUUGUCUCAUGCAACAAAUAGAGGGAGAACAGGUAGGCUGCUUUGCUCCAAACGAUCUUCCAGAGAUCUUUUACUACCUUUUGUAGUGCCAUCAUCACCUAGAAUAUUGUCCUAGUCUGCACAGUCAAAACUAGUUCAUUACCACUAUGUUAGUGUUUUAGCCUCUAGGGGGAAAGGGGAAAAAAAGAAGUGCAGGACAAAACAUUUCCUUUUAAGGAAGCAACUCAGAGGUUGCAGGCAUCACUUUCACAUAUGAACACAGUGACAUGACCACACAUAGCUGCAAGGGAGGUUGGGAAAAGUAGUCUCUAUUCUAGCCAGGUUCCUUACUAAGUCUUAGGGAUUUAUGUUACUAAAAGAAAUAAAUAGAAGGAAUGGACAGUGGGUGGUGGGGGGAAGUAACAGUAUCUAACACAUGCUAAUUUGUUUCCCCAUGUACAGGGAAAGGCAGUUUUAGAGAGGAAAUAGUUAAAUGAUAGACUGCAGAGGGUCUUAGCCAUGGACAGUUAAAGAGUUGCAGUGUCUCAAGGUUGCUGGUUUGGGUAAUGGACAAGCUAAGAGUAUGUCCAAGCGUUCUGAAUUGGCGACCCCCCCAAAAACUUAGCAGGCCAGGACAAAAAGAUACAAUCCUUGAUAGGAGUGUCCCAGAUAGAGUUACUGCUGUCUUUAAGCUGUGUUGCUCAGGCCUCUACUCAAUUCUACUUUGCCUGACUUGAAGAUGUCAGGCUAGUCUCUCUGCCUGUUCUUUAGGAAGAACAUCUUCACCAGAUAGAGAAGUCUGACAGGGCUAUCUAAAUAUUUCUGAACCGGUCCAGAUCAUUGCUGUCAUUCUCUGAGGUUGGCAUGCCAAGUCCUCAGCAUCAGUACAAAGACAUUGCUGUACACUCACAACCAGAUAGAAGCAGAGGCUUGAACAGGAUCAGUCCACUGAGAUGAGGUAUAAAGCAGGGGCAGGCAUAGCUUCAAGCAAGUGAUCAGCACUUCUUGGCUUGUAGGUGGCCAUCUUCAACCAGUGCUUUCACAUGGUCUUCCCUAUGUAUCUGCCUGUAUCCAAGCCCCCAAGCACUGGAAGAGGUCUGAGACCUCCUGGACUACAGGGAACAAGGAGUCAGGGUGGGGACCAGAGCAGGUGCAGAGGAUUAUGAGCUAUGAUAUUCAGGUAAGGAAGAAGGGAAGGUGACUCAAGGAGCAGUAAUCCCAGGGCUUAAGCUUUAUCUCAGAAUGCAGGAAAGAAAGAGGGUAUGCUUCUAUCUCAGAAGACAACUUUUCCCAAACCAUGUUACUUCCAUUGUCCUCUACUCUGUGCUCAAAUUAGAAAAUUGAGUAUCAUCCUAGACUUGUUCCUCAUCAUCUUAACAUAUCCUAUUUAUAAGUACCAAAUGCUAUCUAUUCUAUCUUCUAAUUUUCUCUUGAAACAAUUCAGUUACCUCCAGCCCUUCUACCAUUACUUUGUCCAAUUUUCCAAAGCCCUCCUCUCCUGGAUUACUGCAACAGCUUUCUCACUGGCCUGCCUGACUCCACUCUUGCUGCCCUCCAACCCAUCUGUCAUGUGCUAAAUUGUGCCACCUUCCCCAAAAUCCAUGUGUUGAAGUCCUAACUCAUGAUAGCUCAGAAUGUGACUGUAUUUAAAGAUAGAGUCUUUAGAGAGGUAACUAAGUUAAAAUAAUGUCAUUAGGAUGGGCCCAAAUCCAAUAUGAUGGUGUCCUUACAAGAGAAAAUUUAGAUACAGGCAGAUACAUAGGGAAGACCGUGUGAAGGCACUGGUUGAAGAUGGCCACCUACAAGCCAAGAAGGGAGGCCUCAGAAGAAAAGAGCACCAAUACCUUGGUGUCAAACUUCCAGGCUCCAUAAUUGUGAGAAAAUAAAUUUCUAUUAUUUAAACCACUCACUUGAUUUUGGGGUACUUUGUUAUGGAAGCUCAAGAAAAUUAACACAUCAUCCUUUACACUGCCUACAAAAUGACUCAUUAAUUACAAAGUU
rnacentral:lncRNA from 10 species